UGGGGAAUCUUGGACAAUGGGCGAAAGCCUGAUCCAGCCAUGCCGCGUGAGUGACGAAGGUCUUCGGAUUGUAAAGCUCUUUUGGCGGGGACGAUAAUGACGGUACCCGCAGAAUAAGCCCCGGCUAACUUCGUGCCAGCAGCCGCGGUAAUACGAAGGGGGCUAGCGUUGUUCGGAAUUACUGGGCGUAAAGCGCACGUAGGCGGAUUGAUAAGUUAGAGGUGAAAUCCCGGGGCUCAACCUCGGAACUGCCUUUGAUACUGUUAGUCUCGAGUCCGAUAGAGGUGAGUGGAAUUCCUAGUGUAGAGGCGAAAUUCGUAGAUAUUAGGAAGAACACCAGUGGCGAAGGCGGCUCACUGGAUCGGUACUGACGCUGAGGUGCGAAAGCGUGGGGAGCAAACAGGAUUAGAUACCCAGUAGUCCCUGAGCGGGCUGGCAAGGCGCAU
rnacentral:rRNA from 1 species